UAUUUUUGCUAUAAAUCCAGCAAUAUUAUAGUUGGACUCGAUGAUUCUUUGGGUCCCUUCUCGCUUGUAUAUCCUAUGACAAUUCUAUUGUAUCUUUCUACCAAGCUCAGGCUGGGAGUGGAGCUGGAAACAGUGCAAGGAGCAUGUUGGAGUUGCUGUGGUCUCAGAAACUGAGGUGGAAGGUGAAGGGACUGAUAACUGCAGUGCAUGGGACUUCCCUGGGGAGCCUCUCUGGAUGCCUGGUCCUGUACAAUAUUGCCUGUGUUCGAGACCUUGGCACCACAUGGUGACAUCUUGAAGUAUUUCUUCUGUAAGUCUCUGCCUUCUGACAGGAGUGGUAUGGAGUUGGGAGGGAUGAGGGAGGAUCCGUGACACUGAUGAGUUCUCACGGUGAGAAUCUACCAACAUCAUAUAAUAAUGACUAGAGCUAGUCUUCUGACGUUUGGUGACUGCAGCUUAAUUUGCAUGAAUAAAAAUAUUUUCAGCUGUGCGUGCA
rnacentral:lncRNA from 1 species